rnacentral:sRNA from 1 species
AGUUCUCUGUAGUGUUUGCCAAUGUUGGAGCCGUCUGCAAAGUGUCCCCGGCAAGAAGAGGCUGCCUACCACAAGAACUUUAGCUUACUUUUUAAAGAUUGAAGAAAAAAAAAGAAGACAGAAAAAGAAGAACUCAAAGAUACACAAAGUAAUUUGACCAAGGCUCAGAAGUUUUUGGAGCCGUGAGGGAUACAGCAGUUUGGUCAAUAUUGUCUUAACAUGCUUCAAAUAAAUCAGCCUUUUUAUUUACAGCUUCUCUCCAAGAUAAAAUGGCAAACCCAAAAGAGAAAACUGCAAUGUGUCUGGUAAAUGAGUUAGCCCGUUUCAAUAGAGUCCAACCCCAGUAUAAACUUCUGAAUGAAAGAGGGCCUGCUCAUUCAAAGAUGUUCUCAGUGCAGCUGAGUCUUGGUGAGCAGACAUGGGAAUCCGAAGGCAGCAGUAUAAAGAAGGCUCAACAGGCUGUUGCCAAUAAAGCUUUGACUGAAUCUACACUUCCCAAACCAGUUCAGAAGCCACCCAAAAGUAAUGUUAACAAUAACCCAGGCA